rnacentral:siRNA from 1 species
UGAUACAUAGCACCGAUGCUCUCC